AUAGACGAAUGGUCUUGAAAGGCCAGUCAUAGAGGGUGCGAACCCCGUAGUCGAAAUGUCGUCGCCUGUCCGGAGAGUAUCCCAAGUAGCACGGGGCCCGAGAAAUCCCGUGUGAAUCUGUCAGGACCACCUGAUAAGCCUAAAUACUCCCAGAUGACCGAUAGCGGACAAGUACCGUGAGGGAAAGGUGAAAAGUACCCCGGGAGGGGAGUGAAAUAGUACCUGAAACCGUUUGCUUACAAACCGUUGGAGCACCCUUGUUG
rnacentral:rRNA from 1 species